rnacentral:rRNA from 1 species
AUUGAACGCUGGCGGAAUGCUUUACACAUGCAAGUCGAGCGGCAGCGCGGGGGCAACCCUGGCGGCGAGCGGCGAACGGGUGAGUAACAUAUCGGAACGUACCCGUCGUGGGGGAUAACACAGCGAAAGCUGUGCUAAUACCGCAUACGACCUGAGGGUGAAAGCGGGGGAUCGCAAGACCUCGCGCGAUGGGAGCGGCCGAUAUCGGAUUAGCUUGUUGGUGAGGUAAAGGCUCACCAAGGCGACGAUCCGUAGCUGGUCUGAGAGGACGACCAGCCACACUGGAACUGAGACACGGUCCAGACUCCUACGGGAGGCAGCAGUGGGGAAUUUUGGACAAUGGGGGCAACCCUGAUCCAGCCAUUCCGCGUGAGUGAAGAAGGCCUCGGUUGUAAAGCUACUUCUAGCAGG